rnacentral:misc_RNA from 1 species
GGGAAUAAUUGGAUUGCCAAAAAUAUCCAUGGUUGAAUUUGAUAAUAUGACAAAUUGCCCUCUAUUUUGAUCGACUUAAAAAUAAUAUAAAAAUUUAUUAUUUAAAAGUCUUUAAUUUGAUUGAUAAAAUUUGUUUUCUAUUUAAAUUCAAAUUGCCAAAAAAUAAUAUAGAAAUUUAUUAUUUAUCUAUAAUAUAUAUGAAAGUGGGAAGGGGGAUCUUGACAAAUUGCCUUCUAUUUUGAUUGGCUUAAAAAUAAUAUAAAAAAAUUUAUUAUUGUUUAAAAGUCUUUAAUUUGAGUGGUAAAAUUGAUUUUGUAUUUAAAUUCAAAUCGCUAGAAAAUGAUAUGGAAAUUUAUUAUUAUUUAAAAAUCAUUUAUUUGAUUGUUUAAGCUGAUUUUCUAUAUUCUAUUUUAUUAAGGCAUAUAAUUCUAUUAAGAAUUUUUUUUAAUUUAAUUAAAAAUUAAAUUAGUUAAUAUAUUUUAAUGAAUUUAUAGGUUAUAAAUGAAUGCGUACAGGGUACUAUGUUAAUAAAACUCUAGGGAAAAGGAUGGGAAUAUAUAGAAAUUGGAAAACAUGCUAUAUGGAAAUUGGGCAGCAAUGCUUCUGCCCUAUAAUAAUCUAAUCGAGAGAUAUAUCUUUUAUAUUUCAUAGUACAAGUAAUUUUUAGUCAAUAUCAGAGUAGUUAAGGAAAUUUUUAAAAAAUGCAUAAGCUUGAUUAGUAAUAUUAUUAAAAUUUAAGUUUAGAAAACAUAAAAGACUUUAUUUCUUUUAUAAAUUUUUAAAUUUUGAAAAAAAUGAAAUUCUUCAAUUGAUUUAUAGUAGUAAAUUAUUUAUGCAAUAUUUUGAUAUUUCUUGAAUAAAUAGUAGUAAUCUCAUUAAUUUUCUUGUAUUAUUAUUAAGUAUUUAUCUUAGUUGUUAGUCUAAUAUAGUUGAGAUGUUUUUGAGCUUUAUUCAUCAAAUGGGUAAAUACUUAAAUUAAGUUAAAGAAAAGGUUAAAUUGUUUAGAUUUAAUUCCUUAUCCUAGGACUGAGAUUGGGAACUUUGAUUGUUAGCUUAGAUUGUAAACUUACAUACCAAGAAAUAAGAUUGUAAACUUACCAUUUAAUUUAUGAGAAUCAAUUUGAAGAGUUAAUUUCAUGGUUAUUUAUUUUUCUUAAAUUUUAUAUUGCCAAAAUCUAAAUUUAUACUUAGUAAAUAUUAUUAAAGUUUAAAACUUUCUUUGAUAUUAUUUUCUAAUUAUUUAUGUAUUUACCUAAAAAUAUUCAAAAAAAACUAAAAAUUAGAAAAAAUAAAUAACACAUCCUUCCGUCUCCUUUACUUCAAAACUAAUUUGUCUAUUUGAUGAUCCAUGCUCGUAAGCUAAAAAAUUUGUAAGGAAAUGAAUGAUUUCACCUGAGUUGGUUGUAGAGAAAAUUUAAAGAAAGUUGAGAGAAAAUGGCUUAAUUACUUAGAGAGAAUGACAAAGGUGCUAAAAUAAAUGAGUCAAUAUAGUUUUUUUGCCCAAAAAAGGUUCCCUAAUGCAUUUCACAUGAAAGAGGUCCAAAAAAAAAAACAUCAAGAAUUUUUAAUUAGAAAAGUAACAGCCGUUACGAACGUUACCUUUAAAAAACAGUCAUAACUAUAUUUACAAUUACAAAUUUAGAAACCCGUUAAACAAAGGUAGAAACGUUAAUGGUAAGUCAAAAAACCUUUAAAUAACAGCCGUCACAUAAUGGCCGUUACAUAAAACCAUGCCACAACCUAAUAAACGAUGUUACCUAAAAUAUCAACAUUUAUUUCUUCCUCAAAUUUUACUUCUUAGCUCAAACUUUAUGAAAAAAAAAAUUGAUCACCUAUACAGAAAACAACAAAGCUUCUAUAAAUAAAUUGAAAUGCUAUAUGAAAAAUCCAAGUAACGAAUAACAUCAACAAUGCUGAGCUAAGCUACAAAACCAAUAAAAUAGAAUCCAAUAGGGUAGAGGUGUAGCUAUAUUAAAGGGCUUUUAGAGAUUUGUAAAAUUACAUAUAUAUCCUUGAAAGUGCCCCCUUGGCCCCACGCUGGCUCCAUCUCCGAGGGAGCUGGAUUUCCAAGGGAUUGUAUCAAAGGCUCAAGGUCUAUAUUCGAAAUUGAGGGUCAUGCCUUCCCCACCAACACUAUCAUAAAUCAUAAUCAUCAUCUUCAGCAGCAAGGGGUGUGUAUGGCAGCUAGGUGCCAUAUUUAUUCUGCUAAGUACGACUAGACAAAAACCUGAUAGCUGAAAAAUAACCAAAUUGACUAACACAUCAUAUAACACCAUGAAUCCAUGAUCAAUUCAAAUACACAGGAAACAGGAAGCAUUCAGAAAUGAAAGAACGAGAUAAACAAAGCCAUCCAUCUCCAAACAUUAACAAUUGCCUCUGCAACUAUACUCAAAAUAUGAUUCAAUUGUUGAAGCUAAAAACAUGAACAUAGAAGUGAAGCACAAGAACUAGAAAUUUGAGUAUGCUAUAUUGUCCAUAACAAUAACUGGAUACGCACACCCAUCAACACAUGAAUGAACUACCGUACAUAUUUGUUGGAAUUGAUGAGAUUUUAGUGGGUAAAAAUCCAACAAUAUUUCAACAUAUCACUGAUUAAAAUUGGGACAAGCAUAACUUCACAAAAUAAAAACUUGAUUCAACCAAGCUUCAAUCUAACUAUAUAAACUGAAAAAAAAAAACCUUGUAAUUUGGCAAACCGCUAAAUUGAGAAGAAGCAAACAAAAAAUCAUCAAAAGCGACAUAACUCCACCAAUCCUAAAGAAACUGAAAAUUCAGGUAACCUUCAAAUAUUUGAUAGACUGCAAGAAUCGUACCUGAAUGAUGAUCGGGAAUAUGAAGGGUACAGCGUGCAGAACCUCUAAAAUACCAGCAGCACGACCAGAAUCUUUGUAUUUCUCUUAGAAGAAAAACAUUUGCACUUCAA